GUGGAUCAGUGGCGAACGGGUGAGUAACACGUGAGCAACCUGCCCCAGACUUCGGGAUAAGCCUUGGAAACGAGGUCUAAUACUGGAUAUGAGGUCACAUCGCAUGGUGUGGUCUGGAAAGAUUUAUCGGUCUGGGAUGGGCUCGCGGCCUAUCAGCUUGUUGGUGGGGUAGUGGCCUACCAAGGCGACGACGGGUAGCCGGCCUGAGAGGGCGACCGGCCACACUGGGACUGAGACACGGCCCAGACUCCUACGGGAGGCAGCAGUGGGGAAUAUUGCACAAUGGGCGCAAGCCUGAUGCAGCGACGCCGCGUGAGGGAUGAAGGCCUUCGGGUUGUAAACCUCUUUCAGCAGGGAAGAAGCGCAAGUGACGGUACCUGCAGAAGAAGCGCCGGCUAACUACGUGCCAGCAGCCGCGGUAAUACGUAGGGCGCAAGCGUUGUCCGGAAUUAUUGGGCGUAAAGAGCUCGUAGGCGGUCUGUCGCGUCUGGUGUGAAAACUCAAGGCUCAACCUUGAGCUUGCAUCGGGUACGGGCAGACUAGAGUGCGGUAGGGGAGACUGGAAUUCCUGGUGUAGCGGUGGAAUGCGCAGAUAUCAGGAGGAACACCGAUGGCGAAGGCAGGUCUCUGGGCCGCAACUGACGCUGAGGAGCGAAAGCAUGGGGAGCGAACAGGAUUAGAUACCCUGGUAGUCCAUGCCGUAAACGUUGGGCACUAGGUGUGGGGCUCAUUCCACGAGUUCCGUGCCGCAGCAAACGCAUUAAGUGCCCCGCCUGGGGAGUACGGCCGCAAGGCUAAAACUCAAAGGAAUUGACGGGGGCCCGCACAAGCGGCGGAGCAUGCGGAUUAAUUCGAUGCAACGCGAAGAACCUUACCAAGGCUUGACAUACACCGGAAACUUCCAGAGAUGGUUGCCCCGCAAGGUCGGUGUACAGGUGGUGCAUGGUUGUCGUCAGCUCGUGUCGUGAGAUGUUGGGUUAAGUCCCGCAACGAGCGCAACCCUCGUCCUAUGUUGCCAGCACGUGAUGGUGGGGACUCAUAGGAGACUGCCGGGGUCAACUCGGAGGAAGGUGGGGAUGACGUCAAAUCAUCAUGCCCCUUAUGUCUUGGGCUUCACGCAUGCUACAAUGGCCGGUACAAAGGGCUGCGAUACCGUAAGGUGGAGCGAAUCCCAAAAAGCCGGUCUCAGUUCGGAUUGGGGUCUGCAACUCGACCCCAUGAAGUCGGAGUCGCUAGUAAUCGCAGAUCAGCAACGCUGCGGUGAAUACGUUCCCGGGCCUUGUACACACCGCCCGUCAAGUCACGAAAGUCGGUAACACCCGAAG
rnacentral:rRNA from 1 species